rnacentral:rRNA from 1 species
AGAGUUUGAUCCUGGCUCAGAACGAACGCUGGCGGCAGGCCUAACACAUGCAAGUCGAAGGAGAAGUUUCUCUUCGGAGAGAUGGACACUGGCGCACGGGUGAGUAACGCGUGGGGAUCUACCCCGGGGUGGGGGACAACCGCUGGAAACGGCGGCUAAUACCGCAUACGCCUUAAGAGGGAAAGCUUUAGCGCCCUGGGAUGAACCCGCGUUAGAUUAGGUAGUUGGUGGGGUAACGGCCUACCAAGCCGACGAUCUAUAGCUGGUCUGAGAGGAUGAUCAGCCACACUGGGACUGAGACACGGCCCAGACUCCUACGGGAGGCAGCAGUGGGGAAUAUUGGACAAUGGGGGCAACCCUGAUCCAGCCAUGCCGCGUGCGUGAAGAAGGCCUUAGGGUUGUAAAGCGCUUUCACUGGUGAAGAUGAUGACGGUAGCCAGAGAAGAAGCCCCGGCUAACUCCGUGCCAGCAGCCGCGGUAAUACGGAGGGGGCAAGCGUUGUUCGGAAUUACUGGGCGUAAAGGGCGCGUAGGCGGAAUAUCAAGUUAGGGGUGAAAGGCCUGGGCUCAACCUAGGAACGGCCUCUAAAACUGAUA